UAGGCUUAAAUUGAAGAUAUGACACUUUGUGACAACUGCUGCUCUAUAGAUACAUUUGAUUGUUUAUUUUUCUCAUCUCAUCUGUCCGUCUCUGUCAAUCUACUUAGUUUGUCGAUAUCUUUCUGGGCCAAGUCAAACAGAGACGUUUUUUUAACAUGACUUUUAGACUCUUUAGUCAAACUCCCCACUAAAACAAACAGUCAGCUACAGUACCUGGAAGGCUGAGAGGCUGUGAUAUACAGAGUGAGGUCUUCAGGUCUUACACAGCAGGUUCAUUCACCAUAGUCUCUCAUGUCCAAUCACAGUCAUGGACUGGGUCUAUUCAAAACUGGCUGCUGGGUGUGUCUGUGUGGGAGUUUUGGGUUCCAGUCUCUUCUGCAGUGAUUGGCUGUGGGGAACCUGAACCGUUGCUGAAUGGAGGGGUGAUGUUCAUAUCUGGCUCUCAGAACCAGCACCUCUCAGUCAUUCAGUACCACUGCAAUGAGCCGUUCUAUAGUCUUUCUGAAGGAGAUAACGGAAACUUCACAUGCUCAUCAGAAGGAAAUUGUAAAAACCACCUGAACAGCUCACUGAUUCCUCAAUGUAUCCCAGUGUGUGGGCGUCCUACAGUGAACCUUCCAGGAUUUUGAAGGAUUUUGGGGGGAAAGCCAGCUCCAGCUGGAUCCUUCCCCUGGCAGGUGUUGCUGAUAGUAAAUGGAAGAGGAGGAGGGAUAGUGAUUGGGGUCCGCUGGAUCACGACUGCAGCACAUGUCCUGGGUCAAUUUCCCAUGCGGUUUCCUAUGGUGAGGUAUAUGUUGGGGAAAACAAUGUGGAAAACCUUAUCCAGUCUCCACCUCUUGAGGUGACCCCUCUCCGUAUUCACCCUGAAUACAACAAUGUAGACGAUGUAAUCUACGACCAUGACAUCGCCAUGAUCCAUCUCAAACAUCCAAUCACAUUCAAUGCUCAUAUCAUGUCACUGUGUCUGCCAGCAAAGGACGAUAAAUACCAGACUGGGCGGAAUGGCUUAAUUUCAGGAUUUGGCCUCAAAGAGCUUGAAAUGGCUACCAAUAACCUCAAGUAUGUUCCUCUACCUGUGGUGAACCAGACAAUCUGUAGAAAAUCUAUUGAGAUAGACUGACAUUUCUUUCCUUUUUCACUAACUGACAACAUGUUCUGUGCUGGGAAUUCUGAGGGAGACAAGGACUCCUGUAUGGGGGACAGUGGAGGAGUGUACAUCCUGAAGGAGGGUGAUUAUUUCUGGGCAGCAGGGAUUGUCAGCUGGGGGAUUAACUGUGGAGAGCCUAGAACAUAUGGGGUCUACACCCGUGUGGCUAACUACGUAGACUGGAUCAAGAGGACGAAGAGCAAAAAACAAUAGUAAUGGACCCAAUGUGGAAUCUGAACCAUUGCUGAGAGGAGAAGAGACAUUUUGUUAUUUUCCUGAUCCACCAGUCUGUGGAAGACCCAUGGUGUCCAUAGAAAUACACCAGAGGAUUAUGGGAGGAGAGGUAGCUCCAAAAGGAACAUUUCCCUGGCAGAUGCUUCUCAGUGUGGAAGGAGGGCGAUCAGGAGGGAUGGUCAUCGGGGACAGAUGGAUCCUGACUGCUGCUCAUGGCCUGGUGCAUCAACAUAACAACCAAGUCAUUAAGAAGAGUGAAGUUAUGGCAUACGUUGGCAACAACAAUGUGGAAAACCUCCUUCAGUCUCCACCUCUUGAAGUGGCCUCUCUCCAUCCUCACCCUGGGUACAACAACACAGACGGGUUAUCCUUCAACCACGACAUUGCCUUGAUCAAGCUCCAACACCCACUCACAUUCAGUAGUUCCAUCAUGCGAGUGUGUCUGCCUGAAAAGGGUGCUGAAUACUCCACUGGAAGAGUUGGGUAAGAGUUGGCUCUCCUGUACAGUAAAUGUUUGAUAUUUGACAGUAUAUUUAUUGGGCGUUCUCUAUUUCUGUUUCCAUUGUAUUUUUUUCUCUCCUAAAACUACCUCAAUGCAAUGGAAACUGUCACGAAUCCCGUUUCCUGAGUCGGUUUUUUGCUUGUGUUCUGUCCUGGAGUGUUUUUUCCGGCGUCCUGGAACGCACCCUGUCUGGUUGCCGGGCAAU